rnacentral:rRNA from 1 species
GACCUCGGAUCAGGUAGGGAUACCCGCUGAACUUAAGCAUAUCAAUAAGCGGAGGAAAAGAAACCAACAGGGAUUGCCUCAGUAACGGCGAGUGAAGCGGCAAAAGCUCAAAUUUGAAAUCUGGCUCUUUCAGAGUCCGAGUUGUAAUUUGCAGAGGGCGCUUUGGCGUUGGCAGCGGUCCAAGUUCUUUGGAACAGGACGUCACAGAGGGUGAGAAUCCCGUACG